GGUCAUGAGUGCCAGCGUCAAGCCCCGGCUCGCUGGUCGGCAACCCUCCUCCGCGGUGGGGUGCUCCGGGUGACGACCUGGCCGUGUGUUCGGGGACUUCCGGCACGGCAAGAGCGGAUU
rnacentral:ncRNA from 2 species